AGAAAGACUUUGAACGGAAAGAGUAGCAGAUGCGUUGUGUCGAAAGAGAGAAACUGUCACCGGCUGAAAGCAGUUUCCGAUUACAGCUUUUGUGAAGUGCGUCCGGGAGUCGGUCCGGUGAGAAAGAAGGAUAACAUCAUAGCCGGAUCCGGGAUUACACACGUUACGUGUACUGAGAGAAGAAUGCGGGUAAUAGAACUGUAUUCUUUAAAAAGAGUGGAACCGCGGAUAUACUUCGUCUCUUGU
rfam:Dorea sp. 42_8 Ley3_66761_scaffold_11294, whole genome shotgun sequence.